AAAGCUUAUUAGCAUUCCCUGCCUGCCCAUGGACCUGCACUGACAACUAACAGAGAUAUCCAGCUCACCACUAGGCCUCCUCUCCUUUUGUCUUCAGAUCUCUCGCAGAAACAGAUUUAGACGUGGGCUCUGUACCUUCCAUUCGGUUCAUUGGGAUGCAGCGUGUAAAAAACAAGGGACCUGUUUUUUCCCUGAGCUGUACAAACUUCUUUCCAUGCCACAUAAUGAACGUGCGAUGUGUGUGCAUGUUUGGCAUCUGCACCACUUGUGGGAAGCGUCUUUAAAGCGUUCGCCUACUUUUCCUUAGUGACAUGUAGCAAGGAGCCUUGCUGUGGUUUACACAUAUGUAUAUGUUCUUACUGCUGUUCCUUAAGAUCAAAUAAGGGCUGAUAUUUUUUGCUGCGGGAUAAAACAUACUGAUUGUUUUAAAAAAAGCAGAAGCGAUACACCAGUGUUUACUUUUUGUCAUUUUUUGUCCUGGUUAUUUUUCGAUUAAAAUAUUUCGUGAAACAAUGCUACGCAAAUAGCCAGAGAGAGGGAGUUCUGACUUAAAGCCAAAACCCAGAAGGAUUUUUAAACUUCCAGAUCUGGGCUAAAAAAAAUCCAUUUGUAACCACGUUCUCGGGGAUAAAGUGUGCAUUCAAUUUACUGCAAACUAGAUGCUACUCCCUGAACUUAUAAAUAAAACCAGUCAGCUACUUUUACAGCGAGCGUACAAAUUAGCCCAUGUUGACAGAUGUUUGUCACUUAGUAACUUCUUUCCAAGUUUUUUUCCCCCUCUAAGCCUUCUUUCGGGCUUGCUUUGUUGUUUUAAAAUAUGCAUGUCUCUCAGGAAUGCCAGUCACGAGUCCAAACUUUGUGUCCAACCUCCCACAUGAAAUGAUCCUUUUAUAGGGAACCCGAUAUGUCUCAAUCUGCACUUCACUCAAAGCCUCUGGAUAUGGGGCACUGGUCCCUGCUCAAAAAUAACUGCGCAGAUAUGCGUUUCCACCUAAAACAAUCCCCACAAACGACUCCCAGGGAAGAAAUAUAGCUCCCAUAAUUAAAGAAGGCAGCGGUCAGAGGGGAAUGCAGCCUGAAAGGAAAAAAAAGUAAGAGUUUUACUUCUUUUCUGAUUGCACUUGGGGUGUCAUUAACAGCAGGUUUAUCAGCAUAAGGCACUCGUAGCAAAGUGUUGCGUGUAUACGGGAAAGAAAGAUUGAGCAAACGAAGACCAGAGGAGAAGGCAGAAGAAAGAUUAAGGAACGCAGUCCAACUUCGCGAAAGAAACCCCCUUGAAGUCUUUUUGCCAAGACAAGUAUCAGACAUGCCUAAGAAUGAAACAAUUCUUGGUGGGGGCAGAAAAGGAAGUCAUUUUUUUUCCAGUAAGAAAAAAAAAAAGGUGAGAAAUAUCGUUGUCUUCUGUGUCCAUUAAAAACAGGCAUUUAAAAAUCACUGCUAGUUAAAAUUCCUUUCAGCUAUAGACGUAACUAACCAAGUUUUAAGGGUGCAAAACUUUGGCAGAGACCAUAUUCCUCGAGAUAAGCACGGUCAUUCAUUUGAAGUAACGUGGCAUUCUUUAUCACAGAGCCUUUCCUCUUCAGAUUCAACGCUGUACAACUUUCCAGUCUAUUUAUUUUGCAUGCUGCUGGCUGAGUCGUCUGUACCUGGUAAAUGCUUAUGCUCAGAGUGAACAUUCUUCACAUUUAGGACACUCGAUGUUGCUUCUAGCCUAACCCAGGAUGAGAAAGCUGCUGCUUUAGCAAGGAGGGGGCUGAGGCUUUGUUAAGUGUUGCUUAAAACUUUUUCCCAGGCUCAAACUGAUUUUUAUUUUAUUUUAUUGCAUUGAGAUUAAUGGACUAUCAGUUAAAAGGAAGAGAAAGAAUUCAAGAGGCUCCCAGUUAGUCGCUCUGGUACAAGCAAGGGGAAAAAAAUCCACAUUCAAAUGGAGAGAAAGACCCUCCUGGAUUUUGGAUCUGAUACACAUUUUGGUGGUAAAACAGGUCCCGCCUACUUUCCUCCUCUUUUUCAAAGAUAAGAAACUUUAACUAGAUACGGCUGGGAACCGACAACUUAAAUUACUGCAAAGUGCAAGCGUGUGGUAAAAUGUUGAUAAACCAUCGAAGUCACUGUAAUAACCAUGCAUCAUUCACUUGAGUCUCUCCAUUUGGGGUCUGGAAGCAAACGCGGGCUAAAUGUGUUUGUUUCCUAAUAAACAAGCAGAAAUAGGAAGAACCCAACUCGUGGUCUUUCCCUUCUAACUACGGAAGCAGGAAGGCACUUCCGCUCUCCAAUGAUCUCAGUUGACUCCAGUCUCUGUGUAGUUUUGGUACACUAAUAAUAUCACUUUGUUUGUCUCUGAUGACUAGUCUCUUCAUUCCAAAUGUCCUUUACGGUAAGGAGAGAACCAAACAAAGCAAGAAGUGAAGGAGAUUUUCUUUCCCCACUUUUUGGAAGAGGGAGUUGCUCUUUUGGAUAUUAUUGGUAAAUUACAUUUUUAUAUCAGAACAACCGAACAUCCAUUUUCAAUUCCAAAACAUCUCGGAGAGGAUUUUCUUAUGCUUAAUCAUCUGAAACAUAUAAGUGUAGGCAAUGUGAAGUCAACAAAGACUAAAGGGCUGUCAUGAUAAGUUGAUGUUAGGCUAUUACCAUUUCAACAGAGUCAGACCACCACCAGCCAGAUUGAAACUAUUGAUAUGUUAUUGCGCCAUUCAGUGUCGGUUCAUGUUUUUAUUAACAUCUCCAAGCUGCUUUGAAGAGAAAAAUGUUUAUGAGGAGACAACUGCACAUUAGAAGAGAAAAGCUUUUUAUUAUUAUUUUUAAAGUGUAAACAGAAAUAUACAAUUCAUAAGAACUCCCUGCAGUUCUUUACAUAAGCAAAAACGCAAGUCAAUUAGGGCACGAGAAAGACACUUUUAAAAGGGUAUUUAUUACAGUAGAAUUUUUUUGCACUGAAUUUCCAUUAAAAUAAAAAAAUAGAUUAAUUUUGUGAUAUUUGGCACCUUGGAAACCCCCCUCAUGCAUUCCCAGUGGUAAGAGUUUGACGGUUGCAGGAUUUGUUUGAGAGCUUUUUUUCCACUCCCCCGCCCCCUUGGUCUUUGCAUUUAAGGACAGAACUACACAUAUGAAAUACAAAUCAAAGAGUUCAAACCUUAUUCACAUGAUACACUGAUCAGAGAGGAAACAAACCAGGGACGAGUACAAACGGCGUAAAUGGGUGACAGGCCAGCCCCAGGCAGGUGGCCAGCACCGACAGCAUGAAGUUACUUGGGGAGAAAUGAGGUGAACCAUAUUCUUACGCCUAUACAGCAAACCCAUAAUCAACAGGUUAAAUUGAGAAAUACGAUUACACUGGAAGCUGCCCAGCGGCAAACGUGGAUUUUCCUUUGCCUCUGUUUGGGGAAUCUCCACAGCUUGCAAAACCCCUCGCAUCUUGCUUGCGAAAGUCUAACUCAGGAAACACAGCGACGACCUCCAUGUGUAAGGGACAUUUACAAAAGGGAGAGGAGCUAUAAUGGAGAGAAGACUGCAGAUUAUAGCAGGCAAUUUUACCGUGAUUUCCCCUGGUUAGAAGCGGAGUAAUGUGCGAACUGCAAAACACCACGGGUUAGCUAAAUAACAGCAAUGCCUGGUGUACAUACAUGGAGUAUUUCAGCUGGCUAAUUGUGACCCUCCAACACUGAGCACUGCACACGCUUUAUGAAACCAAAGAAAAGAAGUUAGCAAAUAAAAUGGAAAGAUCCGGAAGAAUCUCUCCUUACACUGAAGUGACAUGAUUCGGUUACUGGUACGUUUACUCCAGACAAAAUACAUUGAAAUCCACAUUAAACACUUUAAAACACCUUAUUAACAACAAUAGCCCCCUACCCUCACCCCUUCCGUACUGAAUUCCUCCUUCAACGCCGAAACGGGAAAAAUUACACUAAAAAGGGGUCAAUAUCACAAACCCAUGUGGUGGCUGCCGACGAUUUGACUGGUUUGAAGUAACACAGCAGUUGGAUGAAAUACCGUUUUGAUUUUUGCUGUCUUUGCCUCUGCUUUAACAACAACAGAGGCGAUGCAGACAUGACCACUGAAGAAAAGAUCACUUUAAUUUAGCUUCAUCAAACCUAUAAGAACUAAUUAGUGUACUUGUAUGCC